ACUAGACAUGAAGGGUUUUUUUCAGAAUUUUUCAAACUCAGCAGCAAAAUCCUAAAGGGGAAGCUCUCCUUAUAUACAUGUGACAGUCUUAUUUAUUUGUGAAAAGGAGUCUCAAACUGCUGAGCACACAGGUUUAUGGAAAAGGGCUCUCCUGUGUUGCUGACAAUUAGUAUAUUUUUCACUUGCAAAAUGGUGCUUUCUGCUAAUGCUACGGUAUAGUAAUCAAAAGCACCUAAUCCAGCUGAUUAAAAAUUCCCUGUUGGGCUUUGCUUGACCAAAUGAAUACAAUUAAUAAGACAUUUCAAGUAGGGAAUUUCCUGCAAAUACUGAUAUUUGUAGACCUUAAAUUAAAACUAUGCUAUGUAAAAUUACAUAUCAAAUGAAGAGAGAUUUUAUUCCUUGGUGCAUCUAACUGAGACCCAUUGUUGAUGUGUGGCAGGAGAGAUUUUAUUCUACAAGUACAGGUAAGCUUUUCACUCAGACCUCAGCUUUAGAAUCAAAUUAAUUGUGUGAUCAAAGCAUUUCUCUUUUGCAUCCUCCCAAAGAAACCUAGCUAAAAAUAAGUCCCUUAAGUAAGUUAGCUCAUGUAGGCAAUGGUAACAGGUGCUAUGGGUUGUUGUUGAGAUGUUGUUUGUUUAAUAUUAAUCUAAAAUAAUUUAAAUGGCAUCAUAAUAGCCUUAUUUUAUGUCUCUUAUUUUGAUUUUAAAAAUCAGCGCAUUCCCCUUAGUGCAGUUAAUAGGGUCAGCCUGUGAGCCUGUGCUGGUUACCAUGCCUUCAGUCAUGUGGAAUCCAAACAGCCAUUAUAAUUUGUUUCUAAACAGAUCAAGAGCUAUUUACCAUCUCAAUGUUUUGUGCACAGCUGGGUGUCUGGCAAACAUCCAAUAUCCAUUAACAUUUAAAAAUUAGUCCCAUAAUGCAUCUUUUCCGUGGCUUGAGGAGUAUACACACUGACACAUGUUGGGAACCAAUUAUAUUUGCACGACCAUUAGUCUGGCUGCAUUCAACUUCCCAGUAAAUGAGGGCUAAUUUAGUUUCCAGAAUGGUGUAUCUUAAAUUCAUGCAAUGACCUUAGCAAAAGCAGAGUAUCUGAAGAUAUAAAGAGGAAGGAAAUGUUGAGAAAGAAUAAUGCUUCCUUUUUUUCUGUCUAAACCAUAAGAGUAGAUUAUUAUAUGACUGUUUCCAGUAUCCAUGCCUGGCCUUAAAGCCAGAUUCCUUUAAUUCAAUACUGCUACAAUUCAUGAGCAGGCUUUGGUUUGGAAGAAAUCACACUAAUCUGGUAAGCUAGCACACCCUCCUUGCUCAGAUCAAACCUGCUAAUGGACUUUUUAUAAUAGCAAUUUAGACCUGCCUGUAGCAGGUCUAACUCCUCAGGUUCCCAACUGAUUUUAAGUGUUCUAUUUUCCUACCAGCAGGAAAAUAAGAAAUACACAUUUCACAGUAAGUGCUGUCUACACUGCUUGUGAAAUAUAUUCUAACAAUGCCAUGGAAGUGAAAUGACCCUCACAAUUGGAAGUUUGGCAUAGAAUUUUAAUGAAAAUGGAGAAACACAAAAAUAUUUUGAGAAGUAUAUUUGCCAAACCUCUGCUGCCAUGAGAAAUUCCUUCCGUAACAUCAGAGGUGAAAUGGGAUGUCUGGCUUGGGGGAUGAGUGUGUAACACCCUUCCUUGCAGUGUGCCAGCUCAGCUCUCAGUAAUCAGGUUCUAGACUGAUUGACUUCUGCUGCUGUAGCACACUGCACAAAGCUCCUCUGAGCUCACCCAGUCCGUGGCAGGCUGCUUAAUAAAGCUAAAUUGCUCCUACAAACACAGUACUAUUCAGCAGCCUUUUAGAAUUAAGAGCUGGUUUUAAAAUAGUGGUUUUUCUUAACACUUAUGUGAACCAGUUAGAAACUCAAGAAGGCAGGAAUUUUCUAAAUGGCUGUGCAGCAAUACAGUGCAGCCAGCCUCCAGGUGAGGGGUCUGUUUCCUCCUCCAGCUGUGCACAUCUGCAUUAACUCUGUCCUCUUGGCACUGUUGUUUGAAUGGAGUUAGCUGUGGGAAUCUGUCUGGAGUGAGGCUGCAGGUUUAUAAACAGCUCUGAAGUUUAAUGUAUAGAAAUAGUUAUUUACGUAUGUUUAAAAUGCAGUAUUUAAUAUAUAAAACUUAUUAUUCUGUUACAUCCAUAUAGUUCAGAGUUAGCCUUUGUCAAGUAUUUAUUUUUUGUAUCAGCACUUUUUCCUUUUACUUUUUUGUGCAAGAAAGUAUCUUUCAGUGAAAGAGCCUGUUCUUGAAACUGCCCUUUUGGAAAAGUUCAUUGUACAGUCAAUAUUUACAGGUGCCGUUUCUACUGUCUUCCUCUCAGAUGACAUUGCUUUUUAUUUUAUUGCUUUCAGUGAAACCCAUGCUUGUAGUCCCUCAAAAUAAUACAUUUUCAUGCAUCAUUGGCAAUACAAGACUUCAUUUAGACUAUUGAUUUACGUUCUUAUUGUAUUAGGACUUGUUAGUGUUUCAUACCUUCUUAUUGUUUGGUGAUUGACCUUUGCAGAUUUACAGUACAUAAGCAAUUAGCCAGUAAUAGGUUAAAUUACUAAAGAAGAUUCCUAUCAGAUUUGGGGGAUUCACAAAUCUAUCAUGGUGUGGUACUGUCCAUUUCUUUAUUUAUAUUCCACACAGCUGUAGUUAUAAGCUGAAUUCCAAGCACAGUAAAUCCUGCUGAAGACUCCUGAAUUCCAUGCGGGAAGAAGAUGAUGCGUGGCGUGGGUACAAUUUGCUGGUCAGAGAAGAGGAUGAAGUGAGGACGUGAUGUAAAACAACGUGACGACACCAAGGUCAGUGGAAAAGAAAGAGAGGGAAGAGCUGCUUCAAGUGUUGGAGCCGAGAUUCCUCUGCAGGCUGUGGUGAAAUCAUGGUGAAUGAGGGAUGCAGAGAUCCACUCACAGCCCACGGGAGAAGUGCUCAUGCUGGAGCAGGAGGUGUUAGAGAGAGCUCUGAUCCAGUAGGAAACCCAAAUAAAGAGAGAUCUCUGCUUCCAGAGAUAGAGAGGGGCCUUGUUUCCAAACUAGAGCAGCCUGUGCACGACUGACCCACACCACAACAGUUUUGGGAGGACUUUGUGUGUGGGAGGGACCCCAUGGCAUAGCAGAGAAAAAACUCCUUUUUUGCUGGCCCUGAGUGAACAGAAGAUCUUGAAUGAUGAAGUGACCAAAACCCUGCACACUGUCUUCCUGCACUGUCAGUGAGGAGGAGGGGUGGAAAAAGGCUUAUUUUUACUUCUCAGUAUCCUCCUCUGACUCUGUUAAUAAUAAAUUUACUUUAUACCUUUAAAUUUGAA